rnacentral:tRNA from 1 species
UGCGAGAUCGCAUGAAUGGUUAAUGCACUGGUCUCAUAAGCCAGAGUAUAUGGGUUCCCUGUUCGUCACACUUAGAUGCUAAGGAAGGCCUAGAAGUCCCAUUCUCGAAA